CCUACGGGUGGCAGCAGUGAGGAAUAUUGGUCAAUGGUCGGGAGACUGAACCAGCCAAGCCGCGUGAGGGAUGAAGGUACAGAGUAUCGUAAACCUCUUUUGUCAGGGAACAAAGGCGGGGACGUGUCCCCGGCUGAGUGUACCUGAAGAAAAAGCAUCGGCUAACUCCGUGCCAGCAGCCGCGGUAAUACGGAGGAUGCGAGCGUUAUCCGGAUUUAUUGGGUUUAAAGGGUGCGCAGGCGGUCUGUUAAGUCAGCGGUCAAAGCCCGGGGCUCAACCCCGGCCCGCCGUUGAAACUGGCAGUCUCGAGUGGGAGAGAAGUAGGCGGAAUGCGUGGUGUAGCGGUGAAAUGCAUAGAUAUCACGCAGAACCCCGAUUGCGAAGGCAGCGUACCGGCCGGUCACUGACGCUGAGGCACGAAAGCGCGGGUAUCGAACAGGAUUAGAUACCCGUGUAGUC
rnacentral:rRNA from 1 species